AUUGAACGCUGGCGGCAGGCUUAACACAUGCAAGUCGAGCGGGGUGAUGGUGCUUGCACUAUCACUUAGCGGCGGACGGGUGAGUAAUGCUUAGGAAUCUGCCUAUCAGUGGGGGACAACAUCUCGAAAGGGAUGCUAAUACCGCAUACGUCCUACGGGAGAAAGCAGGGGAUCACUUGUGACCUUGCGCUAAUAGAUGAGCCUAAGUCGGAUUAGCUAGUUGGUGGGGUAAAGGCCUACCAAGGCGACGAUCUGUAGCGGGUCUGAGAGGAUGAGCCGCCACACUGGGACUGAGACACGGCCCAGACUCCUACGGGAGGCAGCAGUGGGGAAUAUUGGACAAUGGGGGGAACCCUGAUCCAGCCAUGCCGCGUGUGUGAAGAAGGCCUUAUGGUUGUAAAGCACUUUAAGCGAGGAGGAGGCUCCUUUGGUUAAUACCCAAGAUGAGUGGACGUUACUCGCAGAAUAAGCACCGGCUAACUCUGUGCCAGCCGCCGCGGUAA
rnacentral:rRNA from 1 species